rnacentral:rRNA from 1 species
CCGUUGAAACACCGGUUCACGUAAGAUCACCGAAGUUAAGCAACGUCGAGCCAGGUCAGUACAUAAGAUGGGUAACCGCUUGGAAAUACCAGCUGCUGUAAG